UACGUAGGGUGCGAGCGUUGUCCGGAAUUAUUGGGCGUAAAGAGCUUGUAGGCGGUUUGUCGCGUCUGCUGUGAAAAUCCGGGGCUCAACCCCGGACUUGCAGUGGGUACGGGGCAGACUAGAGUGUGGUAGGGGAGACUGGAAUUCCUGGUGUAGCGGUGAAAUGCGCAGAUAUCAGGAGGAACACCGGUGGCGAAGGCAGAUCUCUGGGCCGUAACUGACGCUGAGGAGCGAAAGCAUGGGGAGCGAACAGG
rnacentral:rRNA from 1 species